AAAACGAUCUUUUUGGAAGUAAAAAGUGUAACAAGGUCUCCGUAGGUGAACCUGCGGAGGGAUCAUUACAAGUGACCCCGGUCUAACCACCGGGAUGUUCAUAACCCUUUGUUGUCCGACUCUGUUGCCUCCGGGGCGACCCUGCCUUCGGGCGGGGGCUCCGGGUGGACACUUCAAACUCUUGCGUAACUUUGCAGUCUGAGUAAACUUAAUUAAUAAAUUAAAACUUUUAACAACGGAUCUCUUGGUUCUGGCAUCGAUGAAGAACGCAGCGAAAUGCGAUAAGUAAUGUGAAUUGCAGAAUUCAGUGAAUCAUCGAAUCUUUGAACGCACAUUGCGCCCCCUGGUAUUCCGGGGGGCAUGCCUGUUCGAGCGUCAUUUCACCACUCAAGCCUCGCUUGGUAUUGGGCAACGCGGUCCGCCGCGUGCCUCAAAUCGACCGGCUGGGUCUUCUGUCCCCUAAGCGUUGUGGAAACUAUUCGCUAAAGGGUGCUCGGGAGGCUACGCCGUAAAACAAACCCAUUUCUAAGGUUGACCUCGGAUCAGGUAGGGAUACCCGCUGAACUUAAGCAUAUCAAAAGGCGGGAGGAA
rnacentral:rRNA from 1 species